rnacentral:rRNA from 1 species
AACGAACGCUGGCGGCAGGCCUAACACAUGCAAGUCGAGCGAAGCCCUCGGGCUUAGCGGCGGACGGGUGUGUAACGCGUGGGAACGUGCCCUUUGGUACGGAAUAGCCCCGGGAAACUGGGAGUAAUACCGUAUGUGCCCUUCGGGGGAAAGAUUUAUCGCCAAAGGAUCGGCCCGCGUUGGAUUAGGUAGUUGGUGGGGUAAUGGCCUACCAAGCCGACGAUCCAUAGCUGGUUUGAGAGGAUGAUCAGCCACACUGGGACUGAGACACGGCCCAGACUCCUACGGGAGGCAGCAGUGGGGAAUCUUAGACAAUGGGGGAAACCCUGAUCUAGCCAUGCCGCGUGAUCGAUGAAGGCCUUAGGGUUGUAAAGAUCUUUCAGUGGGGAAGAUAAUGACUGUACCCACAGAAGAAGCCCCGGCUAACUCCGUGCCAGCCGCCGCGGUAAGAC